AGAGUUUGAUCCUGGCUCAGGAUGAACGCUGGCGGCGUGCCUUAGGUAUGCAAGUUGAGCGGGUCUGCAAUGCAGACCAGCAGCAGACGGGUGAGAAAUGCGUAGGAAUCUACCCUUUAGCGGGGAAUAGCUCGCCGAAAGGCGAGGUAAUACCGCAUAAGUCCCGAGAGCAAUCGAGGGAGAAAGGACAUAACUGUCCACUGAUGGAUGAGCCUACGUCCUAUCAGCUUGUUGGUGAGGUAAUGGCCCACCAAGGCGAUGACGGGUAGCUGGACUGAGAGGUCGACCAGCCACAAGGGCACUGAGACACGGGCCCUACACCUACGGGUGGCAGCAAUCGGGAAUAUUGCGCAAUGGGCGAAAGCCUGACGCAGCGACGCCGCGUGGAGGAUGACAGCCUUCGGGUUGUAAACUUCUUUUGUCCCGCCAUAUGGCGGAAAGAAUAAGGACCUGCAAACUACGUGCCAGCAGCCGCGGUAAUACGUAGGGUGCGAGCGUUAUCCGGAUUUAUUGGGCGUAAAGAGUGUCGUAGGCGGUCUGAUGCGUUUGCUGUUAAAGCCUUCGGCUUAACCGAAGAAUUGCAGCAAAUACGAUCGGACUAGAGGUCGUUAGGGGAUGCCGGAACUCCUGGUGGAGGAGUGAAAUCCGUUGAUAUCAGGAGGAACACCAAGGGCGAAGGCAGGCAUCUGGGACGACCCUGACGCUGAUGAACGAAAGCUAGGGGAGCGAAAGGGAUUAGAGACCCCUGUAGUCCUAGCCGUAAAACGAUGGACGCUAGAUGUCCCCGCCUCUGGCGGGGG
rnacentral:rRNA from 1 species